GACUCGCCCCAGGCGGAAGUGAGAGGGGAGAAGAUGGCGCGGGUGGUGCAGGCUGUCUAUUCCGUCCAUCUUGAGUUGGGCGCCUUCCUGGUUUGUCUGAACCACGCCCUGAGCACCGAGCAGGAUGAGGGGCUGGAAGGACAGCUCAGUGGUUAGAGCGCCAGCUCCGCUUCCUGAAUGUAUGGCCCGGUGUCCAUGUGACCCCACGUUCCAGUGACUCAGUGAGGGCGACGCUGACGUUGUCUUCUCUUCCCCGCUGCGACUGAGCGACAACAUCAGGUUUUGCUUUUCCAUGAGGACGAGAAUUCUCCCCUAUAGGUCGCACUUUGACGGCUAUACUUACCCAUAUAGGACAGUGGAGCCGGACCCCAGCUCACAGCACAUAUGGAAAUUAGCUACCAACGAGCCCGGGGCGUAAACAUGCAAGACGAGGGCGCAAACGCUUGGGAGAAGAGUGGGUCCUUGUGAUGUUGGCGAAUCAGAAUGCAAUGCACCGGAAAUGGCAGGGUGCCCAGACUGCCUUGGGGGAAUCAGAAUGGAGGCCAGAACCGAUCUUUUUCUUGAAGCACUGCUUACCAGCCAAUUUGGAGGAAAAGAUGGCCCUCCCUCCCUCCCUUUUGACCCAUUUUCCCUCUUCCCCGAUACACUCAAUAAAAUUAAAGUAAAUCAAUGAA